rnacentral:misc_RNA from 1 species
AUAAGAGACAGGUGAAUCAUCGAAUCUUUGAACGCAUAUUGCGCCCUUUGGUAUUCCGAAGGGCAUGCCUGUUCGAGCGUCAUUAACGACCGUCAAGCCUGGCUUGGUGUUUGGACGUCGGUCGUUUUGAGACCGCGUCCCAAAGACAAUGGCGGUGUCGAUUCAGUCCUCGGUGCAACGAGCUCCACGAGCACGCACCGCACGGGCUAUCGGCGCCCGCCUGGACCCCUUAUUUUCUCAGGUUGACCUCGGAUCAGGUAGGUAUACCCGCUGAACUUAAGCAUAUCAAUAAGCGGAGGA